UCAUUAACUGAGUAUAAAUGGAACCAGUUGGGCACCAGGGACCGAGUGAGUCAGGCUAGGAAACUCUACAUGGAACAGAAAGAUGCUGCUGCCGCUGUGAAAAAGUCCUCUGAAGAAAGCAAGACAACAGCUGUGGUGGAACACUUUAUCAGAGUGAGGAAUUCUGGAGAGUGCAAGAAGCCCAUUCCCAAAGUGAUUCCGGUUCAUCUGGAGCAUACAAACCCAUCAGUGACGUACAUCCCCCAUUGCACAGUGUUGCAUCGGUGUGCAGAAGAUACAGGGUG
rnacentral:lncRNA from 1 species